GAUGAACGCUGGCGGCGUGCCUAAUACAUGCAAGUCGAGCGAACGGACGAGAAGCUUGCUUCUCUGAUGUUAGCGGCGGACGGGUGAGUAACACGUGGAUAACCUACCUAUAAGACUGGGAUAACUUCGGGAAACCGGAGCUAAUACCGGAUAAUAUUUUGAACCGCAUGGUUCAAAAGUGAAAGACGGUCUUGCUGUCACUUAUAGAUGGAUCCGCGCUGCAUUAGCUAGUUGGUAAGGUAACGGCUUACCAAGGCAACGAUGCAUAGCCGACCUGAGAGGGUGAUCGGCCACACUGGAACUGAGACACGGUCCAGACUCCUACGGGAGGCAGCAGUAGGGAAUCUUCCGCAAUGGGCGAAAGCCUGACGGAGCAACGCCGCGUGAGUGAUGAAGGUCUUCGGAUCGUAAAACUCUGUUAUUAGGGAAGAACAUAUGUGUAAGUAACUGUGCACAUCUUGACGGUACCUAAUCAGAAAGCCACGGCUAACUACGUGCCAGCAGCCGCGGUAAUACGUAGGUGGCAAGUGUUAUCCGGAAUUAUUGGGCGUAAAGCGCGCGUAGGCGGUUUUUUAAGUCUGAUGUGAAAGCCCACGGCUCAACCGUGGAGAGUCAUUGGAAACUGGAAAACUUGAGUGCAGAAGAGGAAAGUGGAAUUCCAUGUGUAGCGGUGAAAUGCGCAGAGAUAUGGAGGAACACCAGUGGCGAAGGCGACUUUCUGGUCUGUAACUGACGCUGAUGUGCGAAAGCGUGGGGAUCAAACAGGAUUAGAUACCCUGGUAGUCCACGCCGUAAACGAUGAGUGCUAAGUGUUAGGGGGUUUCCGCCCCUUAGUGCUGCAGCUAACGCAUUAAGCACUCCGCCUGGGGAGUACGACCGCAAGGUUGAAACUCAAAGGAAUUGACGGGGACCCGCACAAGCGGUGGAGCAUGUGGUUUAAUUCGAAGCAACGCGAAGAACCUUACCAAAUCUUGACAUCCUUUGACAACUCUAGAGAUAGAGCUUUCCCCUUCGGGGGACAAAGUGACAGGUGGUGCAUGGUUGUCGUCAGCUCGUGUCGUGAGAUGUUGGGUUAAGUCCCGCAACGAGCGCAACCCUUAAGCUUAGUUGCCAUCAUUAAGUUGGGCACUCUAAGUUGACUGCCGGUGACAAACCGGAGGAAGGUGGGGAUGACGUCAAAUCAUCAUGCCCCUUAUGAUUUGGGCUACACACGUGCUACAAUGGACAAUACAAAGGGCAGCGAAACCGCGAGGUCAAGCAAAUCCCAUAAAGUUGUUCUCAGUUCGGAUUGUAGUCUGCAACUCGACUACAUGAAGCUGGAAUCGCUAGUAAUCGUAGAUCAGCAUGCUACGGUGAAUACGUUCCCGGGUCU
rnacentral:rRNA from 1 species